CUGAGAGAGAGAGAGCGAGAUCAAUCGAAACUGAGAUCAUAUUUCGGAAAAAUCAAAUCACAAAAGAUGGACGAAUCUGAAAACAAAAGGAAACUAACCGAAGAAGCAGAAGAGCCUCCUCUAGUGGAAGCUCUCCUUAUGACAGCACGCAACAUCAUCCCCCGCACCGAAUCUCUAGAGAGAGAGAAACUUCAACGCGGAGUGAGAAAGCUAGGGUUUGCUGAAUGGAAUGACGACUGGGAAAUGCAUAUGACUUUUCUGUGAGAGCUAGCUUUGAGCAAGUUACAAGAAUAUGGCAAGUUCGGAAGAUUGUUACACGUGUCUACUUAUGCUUCUUCCGAUUACAUGAAUAAUUUACAAAGCUUCAAAACGCUGCCGUUUUAGUAGCAACCGGCCCAUGUGCCCAAAACCCCAUCUUACGCAGACAUGCUGCUAGGUCACGCGUUCAGAAGCUUCCGGCAACACGUACACAGAAAGACCAAAAGCUUUUCUCAUUUUUUAUUCAUUCCAGUCCAUCAACUUUAACUUCCCCUCUCACUGAGAAAUGUUUUUGAAUGAUAUAAAUUUACAGUUAUCAACCAACUGAUUAACUUAACAACCUAAACCCAGACCAAACAAAAAAUAUAUAUUGAGAAAUGACUCAAAACCAGAUGUAACAAAUUAAAUAAAAUAAAUAUCAAAGGAGUCA